GAUCCUGGCUCAGGACGAACGCUAGCUACAGGCUUAACACAUGCAAGUCGAGGGGCAGCAUGGUCUUAGCUUGCUAAGGCCGAUGGCGACCGGCGCACGGGUGAGUAACACGUAUCCAACCUGCCGUCUACGUCUUGGACAGCCUUCUGAAAGGAAGAUUAAUACAAGAUGGCAUCAUGAGUCCACAUGUUCACAUGAUUAAAGGUAUUCCGGUAGACGAUGGGGAUGCG
rnacentral:rRNA from 1 species